rnacentral:tRNA from 57 species
GCCGCUAUGGUGAAAUUGGUAGACACGCUGC